rnacentral:tRNA from 1 species
CGGGGAGUAGCGUAGCCCGGAUAUCGCGCAUGCUAUGGGAGCAGGAGGCCGCCGGGUCGGAUACUGCCACCCCGACAA